rnacentral:rRNA from 1 species
UACGAAGGGUGCAAGCGUUGCUCGGAAUCAUUGGGCGUAAAGCGAGCGCGGGUGGUCUUGUAAGUCAGGAGUGAAAGCCCAGGGCUUAACCCUGGAAGUGCUUUUGAAACUGCAAGACUUGAAUGUGGGAGAGGGUUCUAGAAUACCUAGUGUAGUGGUGAAAUACGUAGAUAUUAGGUGGAACUCCGGUGGCGAAGGCGGGAACCUGGCCCAACAUUGACACUUAGGCUCGAAAGCGUGGGGAUCAAACAGG